rnacentral:lncRNA from 1 species
UUCUUAGAAUGGUAUGAAAAUAGUAUACUCUUAGAAAGAAAAUGUAGUAAAUUUUUGAAAGAAACAUUUAAAUAUAUAUAAUUCACCACAAUGAAAUUCAAUAGCUGAGGCAUACAAGUACUUAUGAUUGAGUAGUUGUGUGACAGAGAGUGUGUGUGUGUGUGCUAGUUUUGUGACCAAGUUUGUGUGUAGGCACAUGACAUGUGUGUGUGUCUGUUUAUGUGAAAGUUAAGACAUUAUACUCCAUGUACUCGCAGAGCAAUAUUUUGUUUUUCAUUUAUGUUUUAUGUAUACUGUUUCUCUGUUUACACGAAACGAUUGUCAAUACUUUAUACAAAGUAUAAAAAAAGUCUC